AAAAGUCUCUAUCGAGGUUAAAGGUACCCGUACCGCAAACCGACACAGGUGGGUGAGGAGAGUAUCCUAAGGCCAGCGAGAGAACUGUUGUUAAGGAACUCGGCAAAAUGACCCCGUAACUUAGGGAUAAGGGGGGCCACCAUCAGGUGGCCGCAGAGAAUAGGCCCAAGCGACUGUUUACCAAAAACAUAGGUUUCUGCUAAG
rnacentral:rRNA from 1 species